rnacentral:rRNA from 1 species
CGGGUAUUGACCCCUGCUGUGCCGAAGUUACGCAUUAAGUUCUCCGCCUGGGGAGUACGGCCGCAAGGCUAAAACUCAAAGGAAUUGACGGGGACCCGCACAAGCGGUGGAGCAUGUGGUUUAAUUCGACGCAACGCGAAGAACCUUACCUGGAUUUGACAUCCUUUGAUACCCUUGGAAACAUGGUUUUCUCUGCUUGCAGAGACAGAGUGACAGGUGCUGCAUGGCUGUCGUCAGCUCGUGUCGUGAGAUGUUGGGUUAAGUCCCGCAACGAGCGCAACCCUUGUUUUUAGUUGCUAUUAUUAAGUUAAGCACUCUAGAAAUACUGCCUCGGUUAACGGGGAGGAAGGUGGGGAUGACGUCAAGUCCUCAUGGCCUUUAUAUCCAGGGCUACACACGUGCUACAAUGGACUGUACAAAGAGUUGCCACUUCGCGAGAAGGAGCUAAUCUCAAAAAGCAGUUCUCAGUUCGGAUUGGAGUCUGCAACUCGACUCCAUGAAGUUGGAAUCGCUAGUAAUCGUGGAUCAGCAUGCCACGGUGAAUACGUUCCCGGGUCUUGUACACACCGCCCGUCACACCACGAAAGUCGACGGUACCAGAAGUUGCUGGGCUAACCCUUCGGGGAAGCAGGUACCUAAGGUACGGCCGGUAAUUGGGGUGAAGUCGUAACAAGGUAGCCG